rnacentral:tRNA from 1 species
CGCGGGAUGGAGCAGUCUGGUAGCUCGUCGGGCUCAUAACCCGAAGGUCGUUGGUUCAAAUCCGGCACCCGCAACCA